AUGCACGCUGGCGGCGUGCCUAAUACAUGCAAGUCGAGCGAACGGACGAGAAGCUUGCUUUUCUGAUGUUAGCGGCGGACGGGUGAGUAACACGUGGAUAACCUACCUAUAAGACUGGGAUAACUUCGGGAAACCGGAGCUAAUACCGGAUUAUAUUUUGAACCGCAUGGUUCAUAAGUGAAAGACGGUCUUGCCGUCACUUAUAGAUGGAUCCGCGCUGCAUUAGCUAGUUGGUAAGGUAACGGCUUACCAAGGCAACGAUGCAUAGCCGACCUGAGAGGGGGAUCGGCCACACGGGAACUGAGACACGGUCCAGACUCCUACGGGAGGCAGCAGUAGGGAAUCUUCCGCAAUGGGCGAAAGCCUGACGGAGCAACGCCGCGUGAGUGAUGAAGGUCUUCGGAUCGUAAAACUCUGUUAUUAGGGAAGAACAUAUGUGUAAGUAACUGUGCACAUCUUGACGGUACCUAAUCAGAAAGCCACGGCUAACUACGUG
rnacentral:rRNA from 1 species